UACGUAGGGUGCGAGCGUUAAUCGGAAUUACUGGGCGUAAAGCGUGCGCAGGCGGUUUUGUAAGCCAGAUGUGAAAUCCCCGGGCUUAACCUGGGAAUGGCAUUUGGGACUGCAAGGCUGGAGUUUGGCAGAGGAGACUGGAAUUUCCGGUGUGGCAGUGAAAUGCGUAGAUAUCGGGAGGAAUACCGAUGGCGAAGGCAGGUCUCUGGGCUAUAACUGACGCUCAUGCACGAAAGCGUGGGGAGCAAACAGG
rnacentral:rRNA from 1 species